rnacentral:rRNA from 1 species
CCUACGGGUGGCAGCAGUGAGGAAUAUUGGUCAAUGGCCGGAAGGCUGAACCAGCCAUGCCGCGUGAAGGUCAGUGCCCUAUGGGCGUUAAACUUCUUUUGUGCGGGAGCAAUAAUGGUCACGUGUGGCCAGACGAGAGUACCGUACGAAUAAGCAUCGGCUAACUCCGUGCCAGCAGCCGCGGUAAUACGGGGGAUGCAAGCGUUAUCCGGAUUUAUUGGGUUUAAAGGGUGCGUAGGCUGUGAGGUAAGUCAGCGGUGAAAUGCCCCCGCUCAACGGGGUGAAGUGCCAUUGAUACUGCCUUGCUGGAAUGCGGAUGCCGUGGGAGGAAUGUGUGGUGUAGCGGUGGAAUGCAUAGAUAUCACACAGAACACAGAUUGCGAAGGCAUCUCACGAAUCCGCGAUUGACGCUGAUGCACGAAAGCGUGGGUAUCAAACAGGAUUAGAUACCCCUGUAGUC